CCCCGGAUCGACUGCGGGAAAUGUCCGAGUGCCGCCGAUCUCCCCGAAAGGAGAAAACCGCCGGAGAGACCCCGAGGGAAAGCCGGGGGCUGCGGGGGGGCUGGGGGGGCCGGGGGGAGGCUCGGGGGGCCCCGCCCAGGCCCGUGCCGGUGCCGCAGGGCAGGAUUUGGGGUUUUCCUGCUCGGGAUCCAGAAAGGUGUCGGCGGCGCGGGGGGGCCGCUCGGGUCGGCUGAGCGCGUAGCAGAAGAAAGCCCCGAACGCCAGCCCGCCGCGUCGGGCGGAGGCCGGGACAGAGCCUGCGGCGGAAGCCCGGGGAGCGCGGCCCGGCCCGGCCCGGCCCGGCUGCGGCGGCGGAACGCCGGGGCCGGUCCCCGGGCACCCCCUGCGGCCCGGCCCGGGGCCGUGCCCUCCGCGGGCCGGGGGGGGUGUCCCACGGCCGGGCAGCCGGGCCAGGCCUGCGGGGGGCGGCCUGGGGGCCGCCACCACCCCCGGGCGCGGACGCCGGGGCCCCGGGCCCGCCCCGGUGCCCCCCGGUGCCCCCCGGCGCCCGCUCCCGCCGCGGCCCGCCCGGCACCGCAGGGGUUAAGCGCCGCUCCCCCGCCCGCCCCCCGCAGACUGACACAGCUCCUGGCGGCCGGGCCCGGCCGCCCAAUAGGAAGGCGGCUCGGCGGGCCCCACGUGGGGCGGGCCGCUCCCGCCGCGCUCCCAUUGGCCGGCCGCCUCGGCGAGCGCCCGCACGGGCCAGGCCCCACGUGGAGCUGGCGCCCGCUCAUUGAUCGCGCUCCGCAGAGCGGCUGCCGCGGCGGGCGGGGAGGGGGCCGGGGCCCGGCCCGGCCCGGUUCGGCUCGGCCCGGCCCGGUUCGGCUCGGCUCGGCCCGGCCCGGCUCGGUUCGGCCCGGCUCCGCCCGGCUCGGUUCGGCCCGGCCCCGCCCCGCCGCAGGGGCGUGCGGCCGGGGCCGGGGCCAGCAGCGCGGUGAGUCCCAGCCCGGUCCGUCCCGUCCCGUCCCGCCCCGCCCCGCCCCGCCCCGCUCCGGUUCGGUCUACGCCGGGCCGGGCCGGGCCGCUCCGUGCCCGCCCCCCGUGCCCCCGCGGGACGCGCUCCGGCCCCGCUCGAGGCUGGGCGGCGGCGCGGCCGGGCCCUCCCCGCGGCCGUACCUGCGGCGGGGCCAUUGUCUGCGCGGCGCGGGGGGCGGCGGGGCCGGAGGCGGCGCGGGGGGGCGCGGGGCGCUCGGCGGGCGGGGGCGGCCGGGAGGAGCCCGGGGCCCCCCGGUCCCCGCGGGGAUGCGGGCGGGGGGCGCGGCGCGGCCGGGGUCGGCGGGGCGGGGGCCGGGUGCCGGUGCCAGGGCCGCGGCGGGGCCGGGGCUCGGGCUCGGCGCCCCCGCGGGGUCAUUUUCCGGUGUCUUCCUUCCCCCAGGGCCGGAGCCGGAGCUGGAAAACGUCCCCGGGCCCCGGUUCUGA
rnacentral:lncRNA from 1 species